GAUGAAGAACGUAGCGAAAUGCGAUAAGUAAUGCGAAUUGCAGAAUUUCCGUGAGUCAUCGAAUCUUUGAACGCACAUUGCGCCCCCUGGUAUUCCGGGGGGCAUGCCUGUUCGAGCGUCAUUUCACCACUCAAGCCUCGCUUGGUAUUGGGCAACGCGGUCCGCCGCGUGCCUCAAAUCAACCGGCUGGGUCUUCUGUCCCCUAAGCGUUGUGGAAACUAUUCGCUAAAGGGUGCUCGGGAGGCUACGCCGUAAAACAAACCCAUUUCUAAGGUUGACCUCGGAUCAGGUAGGGAUACCCGCUGAACUUAAGCAUAUCAAUAAGCGGAGGA
rnacentral:misc_RNA from 1 species